rnacentral:rRNA from 1 species
AAAUUGAAGAGUUUGAUCAUGGCUCAGAUUGAACGCUGGCGGCAGGCCUAACACAUGCAAGUCGAACGGUAACAGGAAGCAGCUUGCUGCUUCGCUGAUGAGUGGCGGACGGGUGAGUAAUGUCUGGGAAACUGCCUGAUGGAGGGGGAUAACUACUGGAAACGGUAGCUAAUACCGCAUAACGUCGCAAGACCAAAGA